rnacentral:rRNA from 1 species
UACGUAGGGUGCAAGCGUUAAUCGGAAUUACUGGGCGUAAAGCGUGCGCAGGCGGUUUUGUAAGUCUGUCGUGAGAGCCCCGGGCUCAACCUGGGAAUUGCGAUGGAGACUGCAAGGCUUGAAUCUGGCAGAGGGGGGUAGAAUUCCACGUGUAGCAGUGAAAUGCGUAGAGAUGUGGAGGAACACCGAUGGCGAAGGCAGCCCCCUGGGUCAAGAUUGACGCUCAUGCACGAAAGCGUGGGGAGCAAACAGG